UUAAAAUACAGAAAAAUGCAAAAACAAAAAAAAAAAAGAAAAAAUUUUCCACCACGGCAAGUAAAACUGCAAAACCUCACGAUUUUGAGUUCGACUAGCCUCAACAACUUCGAGUUUAACUUGAACCUGAAAGAGCAUCACUAAGAAAUUGUUAGGUUUUCUAUUCUGAUUUAUUGGACUUCUACGAUUCACCUGCUCUUCUCUCUACUUCCCUCCACGAUUUGUUCACUUCUACUGAAGUUAUUGAGGGGUCGAUCAAGCUAGACAGGGGGGCUGUAAGAUAAAAAUAGUGACUUGAAGACAAACCAUCCAUAAAAUUCGCGGUUGUAGUGACUUGAGGGUCAAGCUUGGUCUUUGUCACGAUAGCAUAUAACAUACCCAGAAGUGAGACUCAAUCCCAGAGGCAUGUCCUUUCUGCAGGAGAGUUCGAGAGGCCAUGACUAAGUUGGAUCUUUCUGUACAGGUGAGGCUGAGUCUGGGUUAGAACGGCUUCAUCAAUGUGCUGAGAAGGAACUACAAGUUUAUCUAAAUGUAGAGGGCCCAUCAGAAGACUUUAAUGAGUUCCGAACAAAGCCUGCUGGGCUGACUAGUGCGACUCGAAACUACUUUGAGAAUUUUGUACGAGCAUUGGAGAACGGUUUGUCAGAUGUGGACUCCCGUGCUGCUUGUAGCAGAACAACGAGCUCUAAGAAUUUGAGAGGAAACAAAUCCAGAGGUGGAAGAGGCAAAGGAACUGCCUCCCAAGCUCCUAGUCAACUGGAUGAUUCAAGUCACUGGUCUUGUGACCAUUGCACAUAUGCCAAUGUUAAGUUUGCAAACACUUGCCAAAUGUAGAGCAAAGUUAGAGCUCUUCAGGAUGUGGAAUCAACCUUUCAUGAGCUAUUUAUCACUUC